AACGAACGCUGGCGGCAGGCCUAACACAUGCAAGUCGAACGAGAUCUUCGGAUCUAGUGGCGGACGGGUGAGUAACGCGUGGGAAUGUGCCCUUCUCUAAGGAAUAGCCACUGGAAACGGUGAGUAAUACCUUAUACGCCCUUCGGGGGAAAGAUUUAUCGGAGAAGGAUCAGCCCGCGUUAGAUUAGGUAGUUGGUGGGAACGGCCUACCAAGCCUACGAUCUAUAGCUGGUUUGAGAGGAUGAUCAGCAACACUGGGACUGAGACACGGCCCAGACUCCUACGGGAGGCAGCAGUAGGAAUCUUGGACAAUGGGGCAACCCUGAUCCAGCCAUGCCGCGUGAGUGAUGAAGG
rnacentral:rRNA from 1 species